UACGUAGGGUCCAAGCGUUAUCCGGAAUCACUGGGCGUAAAGCGUGCGUAGGUGGAUUGUUAAGUGCGAUGCGAAAUCCUGUGGCUCAACCAUAUGGACUGUAUCGCAUACUGGCUAUCUAGAGGAUAUGAGAGGCAAGUGGAAUUACUGGUGUAGCAGUGAAAUGCGUAGAUAUCAGUAGGAACACCAAUGGCGAAGGCAGCUUGCUGGCAUAUUUCUGACGCUAAGGCACGAAAGCGUGGGGAGCGAACAGG
rnacentral:rRNA from 1 species